CUGGAUUGCAGAGGCUUGGAAAACACAGAUGCAUGCCCCUUUGCAGUUAGUAGUUGUCGCGUGGCCUACUUUGGCCCAGUGAGAUUUGGGUAUUAGUUUCUUGGGAGAAUGUUCUUAGGAAAUAAAUGCAAUGCCCUGCUAAAAGAGAAACCCACACCCUUCUUCUUCCCUCCUCCUUCCACCUGAAUUCUAGAAAUGGGACGGAUAUUCAGCUGCUACCACAGAUACGGUGGUGCAGUUGUGAAAAUGCUGAAAGACUUUCCCAUCAGUUGGUAAAUAGCAACUUUCCUGAAUUCCCCAAGUGUCCCUCUUUGUCUUAGUGCCUUGCCCAAGCCCCCUGGAUCUCCCUGUGAUUCUAAAGGGAAAAACUCCUGGAAGAGCAGGGGCCUCCAGAUCUGUACCAUUUGUGAAAUAUUUUAGAUAUCAUGUCCUCCUAGAAGUGAGGGAGGCCACCUUGUAACCAUGAGGUCUCCUCUAAGCACAGGAUGGGGACGUGAUGAAGCCACAGUAGCAGCCCAAGACGUACUCCUGCCUGGCAGCAGCCAUUGUGCUACCCUGACACCUGGCAGCUCAGCUCUCUCGAGCUCCGCUUAGCUCCUGACAGUCUGGUGGAGUGAUAUGAGGACAAGCAGUCACCUGAGCCUCAGAAGAAAGAAGAAUCCAGCAGGCCGCCAUUUUCUCCUCAGUGCCCUUGGCACAACGUGGCUGCCUCAGACCCCCAGCUAUGUAUGUUACAGUAUCGGCCCCAUGAAGAGACCACUUGAAUAAACACAGACCCUUUGUUCCUAAAUGCAAAUUCCAUAGUGACAAAAAACACACCGGGUAAGAUGGUCACUUAUGUUUCGAUCAACCACGGCCAGGGAUGGACUGGGGGAGGGCAACUUCAUUUGCUGCCUAACAGUCACAAUGUUAGUUUUCAAAUGCAAAACAGACUAUGUUACCCUCAUGAUUAAAAUUCUCCAGUGUCUUCUCAUUGCAUUUAUUUAAAAAAUUCAAAUUCUUUUCCAUGUCCUGAAGAACCCUGUCUGACCCAGUCCUUCAGAUCUUUCCUGCUGAACCUCACACCCCUCUCCUCUUCCUUAUUCUUUUUCAGCCUUGUUGGCCUUUUUGUCUGUCCCUUGACCUGAGCCGGUCUUGUUCCCAGCUCACAGGCUUCAUGCUGGCUGUUUCUUUUGCAUGAAACGUGUUGCCAUGUGAUCUUGGCAUUGUCGGCUUCUUCUCAUAAUUCACAUGUCAACUCCCAUGAAUGUCCCAGUCCUGGAGAGGCUAUCCCUGACCAGCCAGCCACUCCCUAUCACAUGAUCUUAAAAUUUCUUUUAUUUUGGUUUUGCAUUUAACAUCUCUCAUUCUUCCCCAACCCCCACACCCCAUGAGAAAAUGUCAG
rnacentral:lncRNA from 1 species